UACAGAGGUCUCGAGCGUUGUUCGGAUUCAUUGGGCGUAAAGGGUGCGUAGGUGGCGCUGUAAGUCGGGUGUGAAAUCCUGAGGCUUAACCUCGGAACUGCAUUCGAUACUGCGGUGCUUGAGGACUGGAGAGGAGACUGGAAUUCAUGGUGUAGCAGUGAAAUGCGUAGAGAUCAUGAGGAAGACCAGUGGCGAAGGCGGGUCUCUGGACAGUUUCUGACACUGAGGCACGAAGGCCAGGGGAGCAAACGGG
rnacentral:rRNA from 1 species